AGAACGAACGUUGGCGGCGUGGUUUAGGCAUGCAAGUCGAACGAGAAAGCACCCUUCGGGGUGUGAGUAGAGUGGCGAACGGGUGAGUAACAGGUGGGCAAUCUGCCUCAUAGUGGGGGAUAACACUUGGAAGCAGGUGCUAAUACCGCAUAUGGCUCACGGAACGAUGGUUCUGUGGGUUAAAGGUGCGCUUCGCGCGUGCCGCUAAGAGAUGAACCCGCUCCCGAUUAGCUUGUUGGUGGGGUAAUGGCCCACCAAGGCUUUUAUCGGUAGGUGGCCUGAGAGGGUGGUCACCCACACUGGGACUGAGAUACGGCCCAGACUCCUACGGGGGGCAGCAGUCUAGAGGCUUCGGCAAUGGGGGAAACCCUGACCGAGCGACGCCGCGUGCGGGAUUGAAGGUCGUGAGAUUGUAAACCGCUGUCAGCAGGGAAGAAUGCCCGGAUGGUGAAUUCGGGAGCGACGGUACCUGCAGAGGAAGCCCCGGCUAACUCCGUGCCAGCAGCCGCGGUAAUACGGGGGGGGCAAACGUUGUUCGGAAUUACUGGGCGUAAAGGGUGCGUAGGCGGUUCGGUAAGUCUGGUGUGAAAUUUUCUCGCUUAACGAGGAACGUGCAUUGGAAACUGCCGAAAUCGAGGAUGGGAGAGGCAGGUGGAAUUCCUGGUGUAGCGGUGGAAUGCGUAGAUAUCAGGAAGAACACUCGUGGCGAAGGCGGCCUGCUGGCCCAUUUCUGACGCUGAGGCACGAAAGCCAGGGGAGCGAACGGGAUUAGAUACCCCGGUAGUCCUGGCCGUAAACGGUGAACCCUGGGUGUCGGGGGUAU
rnacentral:rRNA from 1 species